AAUUUAAAUAAAAUAUAAACUAAACAUAUCCCACAACUUUCCCAAUUCUCUCUCUCGCUACUACCCUCUCGGCUCUCUUCUCUCUGCGUUCUCUCUCAAAAAUUGAUGGUGAAGGUUAUGAUGGAGUGGUAACGGCGACGGUGAACAAGCGGUAUUGAAGGUCAAUUUCACUGAAUCCCGUGAUUCGAGACAAAGUGUGCAUGGAAGUCUUGUUAUGAAAAUAAAAUACAACGCAUUUUCAAGUUGAAAGCAGCUCUACGGAUCAAAGAACACUUGUAUGAGGCCCGGAGGUCCUUGAAAAAUCCUAGUUGGUUGAAUGAUGAUGUGUGGAUCAAGUUAUUGGAAAAAUGGGAUACUCCUGAAUAUAGGGCGAGGAAGGAACGGGCAAAGGCAAAUAGAGCGUCUGAAACGGGUGGCUCGUUACACACUGGAGGUUCGAUGAGAUUCGUUAUCCAUCGACGAAGACUGAUAAUAUUAACUUAAAUUUUGAUUUGUUCGGUUCAGUUCAAUUUCUACUCCGUACAAAUCUCAACCCAUCUUUUUCCUCCAGCUCUUGCACAAAUCUUGCCCCCUCCCGCGGAUACUGAUCCUAAGUAACUCUGGGGAAUUACUUCUCUUAAUUAUAAUUGGUUCGACAAGCCCCAGCCAGCUACCUAGCUAUCUAUCUAGCUAUAAUAUCUUUGUAUUCUGCUGCUGCUUAUCUCCAAACCUAGUUAUCUAGGAAUUAUGUCGUUUUCAUUCAGUUAGACUAUCUAAAAGUGUCUUAGAAACGUUCUUCUGGAUGUUUCCUAUUUGAAGCUCGCUUGUAUUCCCAGAAACUGCAAUGAGAUAGAUAGAUGUGUUAAGGUAGUAAAAUAGAAAAAUAUUUGAACUUCAAAUAUUCA